UCAGGACGAACGCUGGCGGCGUGCCUAAUACAUGCAAGUCGAGCGGACAGAUGGGAGCUUGCUCCCUGAUGUUAGCGGCGGACGGGUGAGUAACACGUGGGUAACCUGCCUGUAAGACUGGGAUAACUCCGGGAAACCGGGGCUAAUACCGGAUGGUUGUUUGAACCGCAUGGUUCAGACAUAAAAGGUGGCUUCGGCUACCACUUACAGAUGGACCCGCGGCGCAUUAGCUAGUUGGUGAGGUAACGGCUCACCAAGGCGACGAUGCGUAGCCGACCUGAGAGGGUGAUCGGCCACACUGGGACUGAGACACGGCCCAGACUCCUACGGGAGGCAGCAGUAGGGAAUCUUCCGCAAUGGACGAAAGUCUGACGGAGCAACGCCGCGUGAGUGAUGAAGGUUUUCGGAUCGUAAAGCUCUGUUGUUAGGGAAGAACAAGUGCCGUUCAAAUAGGGCGGCACCUUGACGGUACCUAACCAGAAAGCCACGGCUAACUACGUGCCAGCAGCCGCGGUAAUACGUAGGUGGCAAGCGUUGUCCGGAAUUAUUGGGCGUAAAGGGCUCGCAGGCGGUUUCUUAAGUCUGAUGUGAAAGCCCCCGGCUCAACCGGGGAGGGUCAUUGGAAACUGGGGAACUUGAGUGCAGAAGAGGAGAGUGGAAUUCCACGUGUAGCGGUGAAAUGCGUAGAGAUGUGGAGGAACACCAGUGGCGAAGGCGACUCUCUGGUC
rnacentral:rRNA from 1 species